UAAUGAGCAGGUUUAAGGUACAAGGGUUCCCAACUAUAUUAGUAUUUGGUGCAGAUAAAGAGAGUCCAAUCACAUAUGAAGGAGCAAGAACUGCAUCUGCAAUUGAAUCAUUUGCCCUUGUUCAGCUAGAAACAAAUGUUGCUCCUUCUUAAGUGACCGAGUUGACUAGCUCAGAUGUGAUGGAAGAGAAAUGUGGUCCAGCUGCCAUCUGUUUUGUUUCCUUCCUCCCUGAUAUUUUGGACUCUAAGGCUGAGGGAAGGAAUAAGUAUAUAGAGAUACUUCUAUCAGUUGCUGAAAAGUUCAAAAGGAGUCCUUACAGAUCUUCUUUGGAGCUGGGAAACUGUUACCAAAAUUAGACCCUCCCCAAUUCCCAU